GAUGAACGCUGGCGGCGUGCCUAAUACAUGCAAGUCGAGCGAACGGACGAGAAGCUUGCUUCGCUGAUGUUAGCGGCGGACGGGGGAGUAACACGUGGCUAACCUACCUAUAAGACUGGAAUAACUUCGGAAAACCGGAGCUAAUACCGGAUAAUAUUUUGAACCGCAGGGUUCAAAAGUGAAAGACGGUCUUGCUGUCACUGAUAGAUGGAUCCGCGCUGCAUUAGCUAGUUGGUAAGGUAACGGCUUACCAAGGCAACGAUGCAUAGCCGACCUGAGAGGGUGAUCGGCCACACUGGAACUGAGACACGGUCCAGACUCCUACGGGAGGCAGCAGUAGGGAAUCUUCCGCAAUGGGCGAAAGCCUGACGGAGCAACGCCGCGUGAGUGAUGAAGGUCUUCGGAUCGUAAAACUCUGUUAUUAGGGAAGAACAUAUGUGUAAGUAACUGUGCACAUCUUGACGGUACCUAAUCAGAAAGCCACGGCUAACUACGUG
rnacentral:rRNA from 1 species